rnacentral:misc_RNA from 1 species
GGAAGACUACAUGCCGGUACUCACGCAGGUUCUGAUCAUCCAACGGAGCUGGAAGCAGGAGAGGUUCAAUGAGAGGCUGCUGACUGAUGCUAUACUGAAUAUAAUCAAAGCUCUAGAGACAAACUUUGAAGUGUGGUCGAAGGGAUAUAAUGAGGAUGUCGCCCUCUCAAAUCUCUUCAUGAUGAACACACACUGGCAUUUCUACAAG